rnacentral:rRNA from 1 species
AUUGAACGCUGGCGGCAGGCCUAACACAUGCAAGUCGAACGAGUGGCGGACGGGUGAGUAAUGUCUGGGAAACUGCCCGAUGGAGGGGGAUAACUACUGGAAACGGUAGCUAAUAACGCAUACCAUCGGAUGUGCCCAGAUGGGAUUAGCUUGUAGGUGAGGUAACGGCUCACCUAGGCGACGAUCCCUAGCUGGUCUGAGAGGAUGAUCAGACACACUGGAACUGUGAAACGGUGAAGACGCCGACGGGAGGCAGCAGUGGGGAAUAUUGCACAAUGGGCGCAAUGCUGAUGCAGCCAUGGCGCGUGUAUGAAGAAGGCCGUCGGGUUGUAAAGUACUUUCAGCGGGGAGGCGUGUCCCGCAGAAGAAGCACAGGCUAACUCCGUGCCAGCAGCCGCGGUAAUAC